rnacentral:rRNA from 1 species
UACGUAGGGACCGAGCGUUGUCCGGAUUCAUUGGGCGUAAAGAGCUCGUAGGCGGCUGUUCAAGUCGAACGUGAAAACUCGGAGCUCAACUCCGAGCCUGCGUUCGAUACUGGACGGCUAGAGUCUGGUAGGGGGAUCUGGAAUUCCUGGUGUAGCGGUGGAAUGCGCAGAUAUCGGGAGGAUCAUCUGUGGCGAAGGCGACACCCUGGACCAGCACUGACACUGAGGCACGAAAGCGUGGGGAGCAAACAGG